rnacentral:rRNA from 1 species
CCUACGGGCGGCAGCAGUGAGGAAUAUUGGUCAAUGGCCGAGAGGCUGAACCAGCCAAGUCGCGUGAGGGAAGACGGCCCUACGGGUUGUAAACCUCUUUUGUCGGGGAGCAAAGCGAGUCACGUGUGACUCAUUGAGAGUACCCGAAGAAAAAGCAUCGGCUAACUCCGUGCCAGCAGCCGCGGUAAUACGGCGGAUGCGAGCGUUAUCCGGAUUUAUUGGGUUUAAAGGGUGCGCAGGCGGAGGUGCAAGUCAGCGGUCAAAUUGCGGGGCUCAACCCCGUACUGCCGUUGAAACUGCAGCCCUUGAGUGCGCGAGAAGUAUGCGGAAUGCGUGGUGUAGCGGUGAAAUGCAUAGAUAGCACGCAGAACUCCGAUUGCGAAGGCAGCAUACCGGCGCGCAACUGACGCUCAUGCACGAAAGCGUGGGUAUCGAACAGGAUUAGAUACCCCAGUAGUC